CAGCAGCCGCGGUAAUACGAAGGGGGCUAGCGUUGCUCGGAAUGACUGGGCGUAAAGGGCGCGUAGGCGGCGGCCAAAGUCAGGCGUGAAAGCCCCGGGCUUAACCUGGGAACUGCAUCUUAUACUGGGUAACUGGAGUGCAGUAGAGGGUAGUGGAAUUUCCGGUGUAGCGGUGAAAUGCGUAGAUAUCGGAAGGAACACCAGUGGCGAAGGCGGCUACCUGGACUGAGACUGACACUGAGGCGCGAGAGCGUGGGGAGCAAACAGGAUUAGAUACCCCUGUAGUCCCUGUCUCUUAUAA
rnacentral:rRNA from 1 species